CAAGAAGACGCUAUCGUGUAAAAUCGGUAGCCCAAAGGGACCCGGAAAAUGGAGUCCCUUGUCAUCGAAGUAUGGCUGCACAUAUGUCGCAUAUAUACAUAUAUCAUACCUGUUCCAAGAUACCUCUUAGAAGUUCAUUCCCAGCCCUGCGACACUGGCUCCAUCUGCAUACAAUGAAUGGGCAAUGGCUCCCGUAGCAUGUUCCUCAAGUUCUUCGGCACUCUACCGUAUAAAGCAUCUACUAUACUGUAAGCGCUGAUGCUGGUCCUGGUGACUCGACGCCGAAGCCAGAAGGGGUCUACACCCGAAGAGUGGUCUCCAUUGGGCCCGGACGGAGUCUCACCGUUGAGCGCAUGAGAGCUGAGGAACCCGUAAGAUGGACCCAAAGGUGGAUGGAGGAUGGGGGGGGGGUCAAGAAGAUGUUGGUGAGGGCGUGCGAGGGGAAGUAUCCGAGGCAGAAACAAAUAGCCAUUGUCUGUGCCAGGGCCGGCAGUGGGGCCCGAAGGGCAUCUAUCACCUGCUUAUCACGAUUAUACCACUUGUGCCCUCUCCUGCGUCUCUCCCUUUUCCUUCCUUACCUAACCUAACCCUGUUCCUCUCUCCUCCCGUAUCCUCCCUCUUCACUUGAACCAGAGUGCCAGGUACCACCAUCGGGAGUAAGACGUCUUCUCUUCGUUACCUUUUGCUCCCUUUUUACCUCUUUCAAUGACCUCCCUUCUACCUCUCUAAACGUACUGUACCUGUGGGUACGUACCUAAACUAUACGUAUCAGCCAGGACCAUGUGGCCUGUACCCAAAGUCUCAUACAUAUGGAGCAUCCUUUAAAGUCUGACGGUUAGACGAGGGAAUGAAGGAGGAUGCCGUGGACAGGCGUAACCCGAUCCAGAAUGUAAGGAAGAGGAUCGCGUGGAGGCGAAGGAGCGCGUCGGGGAUGUAGCGAGUUAGAAGAGAAGCAAGAAGAAACGAGUCCUGGAAGGCAGUAGGGUGGUUAGAAUUGGACGUAGCCGAGUUUAGUCGGGGCCGGCUCUUGGUAUAUUACCUACACGAGCUUCACAUAAAUAUACCACUCCUAAGAUAGGGAUCUAUACCGCCAAGACCAUUUGUUGGCCGUGUCCGUCCGAGCGUCUCGAAGCUCAGGACGACGAGCUGCAUGGCUGCCAACCCGGCAGGCGUUGGCUUAGUUUCGUUGCCCCCGAGGAUAGAUCAGGACUCGGAUCACCUGUGCGGCCAAUUGUUUUCGCCCAUCGGCCACGAAUUGAUGGCCCUAUCAUUACUCAGUUAUUAACAAUCGUUUGGUAACGAGCGUUCUGCCAGUGGUAGAUGUUUUCAGUUAAUUAUAUGUUCAGAACAACGCCGUUUCGAUAAACCAUCCCCUCUUCGAUAGUGUCUAAUCAUUUCUGUUAGAUAUCACCAUGGAAUGAUGAUUCAUGAUUCACGUCGUGCUACUCUUUGCUGGCCUUAGGCUUGAGAGAAAAAGUCUUUUUUUUUUAGUUAGAAAAAAUGUCAGGACCUAUUAAGGCUAUUAGGAUGUCCUGGGGCAGGGUGGAUAAGGAUAUGGUUGGGUUAACUAGAGUUAAAUUCAGGGGUUAAAGUUUAAGUCUGACUUUGAAGCGGGUCUCAGAACACUACCACUAUCAGAGUCCAGAUGUCCCUAAUGUGAUAGGUUUCCGUGAAAUGGCGACGAAGGGGGUUGAAUGCAGAGGAGAAGCCACAGAGGACGAAGAGUACGAUAAGAAGGCUCUGCUAUCCUUGGGGAGAUCUCCCGAUUGCUUGGUACCGUUGCGUGGGGAUGCUGAAGAGAUGCUGAAGGGCUGCCUGUUAGGGACGUGUUCGGCGAACAAAUUACCUUUUGUUUUUGAAACUUAACAGUUAUUUGGGGUCUGACUUAUGGCCGGUCCGCACUUCUUCUGAAUAGCUGGACUGGCUCGUUCCCUCCGAGAUUUCGGACCUGGUGUGGAAUGUUGAUGAAGAGGUGUUUGGUGGUUAAGCAAACUCUGCAUCUGUUACUCAAAGGAACAUCCCUAGGAGUACCAGUAUCAACGUCCUUGGCAUAACAAUGGAUUACUCGGAAGAUUGAGAUUCAGAAGACGAGGCGGAGGGCGUGUAUCGUGGUUCAAUGGCGCUACUAACGAGAGUGGGAGUCACUAACGGCUCCAAGUGUUCGAAUUCAUCGGGGAAGGUUUGCGUUUAAGACGAAGUGAACGUAAGAAGCAGAAAAGACGUAGCGAAGCAGGAUAAAAUAAAAGCAAGUGUAAGGACGAGCGAAGGAGAAGAUUGAGAAAAAGGAGGCUGCGAAGGAGGAGCUGGAAUAGGAUGAACUCGAAGGAGAAGAAGAAGAGGAUGAAAGAGGAGAAGGAGGGAGGAAAGGUGUGGGGCA